ACAAUCUUGAAGAUACUCUAGACAAGAGAAAACUUGGUAAUCAUCACAAGAGCCCUUGCUAGCAUUCAGCAGGUGCUAUGAGGAAGGGCAGUGCUUUCCCCUGAGUUAGGUGUUGGAGAACCAGUUUUCCUUCUGCUUUUUGUUACAGAUCUGCUACAUGGAAUCCUCUAAACCAGUUCCUUAUUUGAAACUCCCUAUAUGCUGAAGCUUAUGAAAGCUUUUUUUUUUUGUUAUCAAAGCAAUGUGGGAUUUAAUUGGAGUACAAGUCUGAAACGGAUAUUGCAUGGAUGGGAGUGUUGCCAUGCUGAAGUAAACAAGUGUAUCUGUGUUUGUUUUUAUUGGUAUUUUGGGCUUACAGCAUGCACAUCAAAUGAUGUACAUGCUUAUCUCUUCUCAUGUAUGGAAACAGUUUUUAAAUUUUAAGCAUUUCAGUUAAAAUAAGUCAAAUCAAAUCAAUGCCCAAGGAUCCUAGUUAGGAUGUAAUUUUUGCUGAAAAUUACGUUCUUCAAGGCCUUGGAGAAAAAAAACAAAACAGUGAUUUAGUAAAAUUGAACAAAUAAGGACAUUUCUAUCACAUUUUCCUUAGUCAAACCUUCAUUACAUUUCCCCACUUUUUGUGACAUACAGAAAGUGGAUAUGGUAUUAUUUGCCCUUUACAUGAGAAAGACUCAAAAAAGUGUUAGACUGCAUUUUGAGAAGCGGUCUGUAGUUUUGUAUGAGAAAUUCUGGCUGCUUAAUAAAAGCUGCAAGACCUUGCAGGUCUGAGGGAUUUCAGUCAGAGUUAUGAACCCAUAGCACCUUGAGAAAUUAUGUGCUAGGUCUGACCAACAUGCUGAAUUAAAUUCUACUGUUGAAAACAUGGGAUAUAUUUCCAUCUGAAGUCACUCAAAGAGAACAGUUAGAGCAUUUCUCUUUCAAAUAAAAAGGUUGUCCCUAUUUAACCAUUCCUGGAGAAAAGUAUCUAAUAUUGUACUUUUGAAGCAUCCAGAUAAUUCCAGUCCUUUACUGUCAGUUCAUGAUUCAAAUAUUGUGCCAAAUGCUCAAAUCCUUGGAGAAGACCCAGAGGGAACUCAUAAAAUUAUAUAGGAAAGGCACCAAUUCACUCUUGCUGAGAAGUAAUUUGGUUUGGUUUAGUAACCUGUGAAAUAGUUCUGUAAAAUUAUGAACUUUAAGGAAACUGUGAAGAGUGUGAUUAUUGACAUCUGCUGUAGGUGACCUUUAUGUGCUGAAAAGAUCACAAGGUAGUAAAGACAAAAAAAUUACAACCUCCUUUCCUUCUUCUCUCUAAUGGUCUGAAAUUGAAAAAUUGGAUCUAUUGAACCCCAGUUAAAGUUAGGACAGCCAAAUAAAACAAGGCUACAACCUGCAACUUGCAGUUUUCCAAGUAUGUAAUUUAUAUACUUUAGAGACUAAAUGCUGCUGGAGUGAGUUGCCACUCUCAACUGAACAUAAAUCACUUCAUGUUAUUUCCAUCCAUUCACUAUCUCUUCCAUUAACUUCCCCCUCUAUGGUAACGAAACAUAUCCCAGCAUUUCAAAGGAAUAGAUGUACUCGUGCAGAUCAUCCAAAGCUGUUUGUCCUGAUUCUUUUCUCAGUGCUGUGAUAAGGGCUGUGUGCCUUGCUAUCUUUCCUACUUCUCAGUAUCUUUUCUGGCUGUUCUUUCUUUGCUAUUUGUGUUAACAUAAUCUAAGCUCCUGGCAGCUUUAUGAAAUUUGUACUGGUAUUGAUCAGCUUGCAGGAUAUGUAUGGCAAAUGCCUGAACGUCACAGUUGCUGGCAUUACAGCACUAUGUAGCAGCUAACAUUCCUAGUGCAUUAGCUGUGCAAAUGACCUUUUAACUCUCCUUAAGAGCAUCUCACAGUUGUCCUGAGUCAGUGUGCCAGUUACCACAGUAGUCUGAGGGUGGCAUUUUAAGUGUCCCUCGUCAUCUUGAUAUGGGACCUAAAAGGCAGUAGCAUGACACUGGGUAUGCCCUAUGACACAGACAUGCCUGAGUGUGCUGGAUGCUGGGAAAUGCUGAAGGGGGCCCAGACCAGAGCCAGAACAGCAUUGCUUUCUUUCAUGUAAAUACCCCCUAACCAUUCCCCUGUAGUCACAUCAGUUGAAUUAUUUUAUUCACAGCUCCCUUUGAAAAGGGACCCUGUCUGGUCCCGUCCUGUCUCACUGUUUUCAUUUUAAUAAACAUGUUUUCCAGAAGUGUAUUGAGCAGCACAACUAGCAUUGAGAUAUGAAAUUGCCUUAUCCUUCCUUUUUUUUAAUCACUAUGAAAGUUAUUAUUUGUAUUUUUUAAAAUUUAAUUUUAUGUCUGAUACACUGUUUACAACAUCAUCAAAAGGUUGUGUUUCCCAGUUCUAGUAGAAGUGUAUGGGCUGUCUGAUCCUAGCUGCUGUGUGUAUUUGUACAUAACCUUGACUUGGCCAAAGAGAAAGCCUUUAUGCUUGCAGAACAGUUUUGUUCUGUGUCAUGACUGGGAAACUGGGCCAUCAGCAGUAGGGUGCAACCCAGAUUUUCAAGUGCCUUUUGGAGUAUUUGGGGCUCUGACAGCUGUGUCUGAAAAUAAGGAGAGGUUGUUUACAGGAAAGGACAGGCUUGGUAUGCUCACUGCACGGCUGAAAAGCUGGCUGUAAUAUUCUGUACUCAGAGUUCAGAUAGUGACUCAUGAGUUGUAUGAGUUAAGUGGAUAAUUUUCAGCAGGAUGGUGGGAAAUCUUAUUGCCAACUGCACAUAAUAAGUACUGUGCAUAGCUACUGCAAUGUGAGAUACUAGAGGGAAUUGCUAGGACAUCCUUGAAGUGAUGGGUUAACUUCUUAGCCAGAGGGAAGUUGUACAUGUGUUAUUUCCGGUUACUGGAUAGUAACCAGUGUGAAUGACUGUGAAUGAAGUCCUAAUUCAAUGGCCAUUCAGUUCAAUGUUUCCAGUCAUUUCAGCUGUAGUUUUAAGUGGGAACUGGAUCAAACCUCUCUGUAAGAUUUGAGAUAGCAAAAGGCACACUGAAAGGAAAAGGUCAGUUUUAUUGUUCAUAUUUUAGUUUUUCAAUAAUUUCUAAAGACUUCUAGGGAAGUAUUUUUUUAAGUCUGAUUUUCCCUUUGUUCAGUUUCCUACAUUAUGCAUAGAUUAAUUCUAUGAGUUGAAUUUAUUUAUUUUUUUUUAUGACUGUCUAACUUGGGGAAGUCAGUGACUGGUCCACCUUUGUAGCAAGGAAAAAUAAACCAGAUAUUCCUAUUCUUGUUUUGAAAUACUUUUCUCUGUGUGCUUUGUUCUUGCUGUUCUUCUAAAAUAAGCAAUACUUCUGUUUUAAAAGUGCUCUGCCAAUGUCUUGGUCAUGGGCUUUCAGAGGAAACAUAGGAUAUCUGAAUUGAGAGAAACCAUCAGGGAGAUCUGGUGACAGCAACCAGGGGCAGGAAAGGAGGAACUGAUAAUUCCCCCAUGUGAGAACCAACAUCUGAGUUCAUUGUAAUCAGGACUGUGAUCAGAAGGGAAGCAAGGGACACCUAACCCUGGAACUGCCUGUCUCUUCUCCAAAUGUGGUAAUCUCAUGAUUCUGAGUGUGGCAGUGGUGGCUAGAAAUGAAACAAGAAUCUUAUCUACAACACAAUAAAACAUAAAUAAAACAUAAUAAAACAUAAUAGAAAGGGUCCAGUCCCAAGUCCAGUCCCUACACACGAAGAGAUCCUCAGAUGACAUGGCAAAAGGAAUCUUGGGUAGUUUUGUGGAUCCUACACAAAGGACUGCCAAAGCCAUGGAAGUCAGUUUGUGUCAAGAGAGUAAAAUGUAUUGCAUAACAAGUUCAAUAUACGGCACAGAUUUAGGUAGUAUUACCUGCGGAAUAACAGUGAUAACAGAACAACACUGUAGAAUGUAACAAGCUGGGAGGUUCCUGCAGGGCAUUUAUGAUAACUUCUUCCUCCAACCCUCCAAGUGAUAGAGAUGUCAGUUAGGAGAAGUGCACUGCUGGACCACAUCCUCACCAAGGAGGGGAUGUGAAGAUCAAAGACAGCCUUGUGAGCAGGUCAGCCUGCAGUGACCAUGAGAUGGUGGAAUUCAGGAUCCCAAGGGCAAGGAGGGUGGAAAAACAAUGUCAGAACCCUGUACAUCAGGAAAGCAGACUUUGGCCUUUUCAGAGAUCUUGAAAAAAAUGCUGUGGGAUGAGGCCCUGGAGGGAAGGUGGGGCUAAGAAAGAUGAUUAGUAUUAAAAGCUUACCUCCUACACAGUCAAGAUCGUUCCAUCCCAAUGAAUAAAAACAGACAAAAAUUUCAAGAGGACCAUGUGAAUAAACAAGUUGUUCUUGGCCAUCCUCAAAGACAAAAAGGAAGCAAGGAUGAGUAACCUGUGAGGAGUACCUGUGAGAAUCAUUGUCUGAACAUUGAGUGAUGAAGUUUGGAAAACUAAAACCCAGCUGGAUUUGAAUCAGACCAGGGGUAAUGGAGACAACAAGAAGGGCUUCUAUAAGUACAUAGGUGACAAAGGGAAGACCAGGGAAAAUGUGGGCAUCUUGCUCUGUGAGGUGGGGUAUCUGGCUAUGCAGGGCUUGGAAGAGGUUGAGGUUCUGAAUGCCUUCUUUGCUUCCAUCUGUACUAGCCUUCAGGAAUCCCAGGUCCCAAAGACCAGGAGGAAAGGCUGGAUCAAAGAACAUGUGCCCUUGGUGAAAGAGAGUCAGAUCAGGGAAUACUUAAGUAAACUGGACAUAUGAGGCCAUGGGCCCUGACAGGAUGCUGAGGGAGCUGGCAUAUGUGAGGCCACCUUCAAUAACCUUUCAUUGAUCUUUGAUUGUUCAUGAUGACUGGGAGAAGUAUCUGAAGACUGGAGGAAGGUAAAUGCCACUUCUAUCAUUCAGAAAGAAGGAAGACCCAGGGACCUGCAGGCUGGUCAGCCUCACCCUGAUCUCUGGGAGGGUGAUGGAACAGCUAAUCCUGGAAACCAAUCCCAGGCACAUGAACAACCAAAAAAAAAAAAAAAAUCACCAGGAGUAGUCAGCAUGGCUUGCCUAGGGGGAAGGGCUUGACCAACUUGAGAAACUUGUAUGAUGAAGUGACUGGCCUGGUAGAUGAGUGGAGAGCUGUGAAUAUUGUUUACCUGGACUUCAGUAAGGCCUUUGGCACUGUCUCCCAUAAGAUCCUUAUAAACUAGCUGUUGAUAUAUGAGCUGGAUGAGCAGUAAGCUGGGUUGAAAACCAGCUGAACAGCCGGGCCCAGGGGGUGGUGAUCAGAGGUGUGAAAUCUUUGCUGCACUUCCCUCAAUAAGUCCAUGUCUGCCUUCUACUGGGGCCUCAGAACUGGACAUAGUACUCCAGGUGUGGCCUCAGCAGUGGUGAGAACAGAAGGAUCACUUCCCUUGAACUGAUGGCAUCACUUCUCCUAACACAGCUCAGGAUCCCUUCAGCCUUCCCAGCUACACAGGCACAUUGCUUGCUUAUGUUCAAUUUUACAUCUACCAGGACCCCAGAUCUACUGCAAAGAUUCUUAUAUGCUGUGUGUCCCACAGCAUAUACUGGUGAAUAGGGCUGUUCCUCCCCAGAUUCAGGACUUGUCCUUUCCCUUACUGAACCUCAUAAGCUUUCUGCUCACCUGUUCCUGCCAAGACAGGGUCCCUCUGGAUGGCAUCAUGACCCUCUGGUAUAUCAGCCACUCUGCCCAGCUCCCAGAUUUGUGUCAUCUGCAAACUUGGGUACACUCAGACCAUUGAUGAAGAUUUUGAGCAGAAUUAGACCCAGCCGUGACCCCUCAGGUACACUGCUGGUUCCUGGCCUCUGACUAGACUCUGUGCCUCAGAUGUUCAAAUGGUUUUCAGGGUACCUCACUGUGUAUGUCUAUCCAGGCCAUGCUUCACUGGGCUCUCUGUGAGUUUCUUGUGAGAGACAGUGUCAAAGGCCUCACAGCAGUUCAAGUAGACAAUAUCUGCUGCUCUGCCCUUGUCUUGUACUUUUCUUUAUUCUUUGCCUCUAAUUUGUGUUUGUAACUCCCUCUCUAUGGCUGCUAGGGUGGCAGAGCUAAGUGCACCAGUACACAGUUUUCAAAACAGUGAUCUUCUCAAAGAGACAACUAGUUCCACUGGGGUUUUAAAACCUUUAACUGAGAAGUAUAAGAGUGUAGACAAAAUUAUCCCUCAAUGCUUUGGGGACGUGAGCCAUAGCUAAGCAAGCCUGCGGUCCUGCUGCCCGGGCAGAGUGAAUUGUGUCCCUGACACCUAGUGGCAACACGGCGCUGUGUAACAGUAAUUGAGUCUGUGAUACUGGCUUUAUCAUGAUGCUCACACUUUAAGGAGGUGUUUUAUUUUCCUUUUCUGUGUAUUAACCCCAUUUGUACUAAUGGAAGAUCAAGCAUCAAUCAAUGUCUAAAGUCUUAAUGGAAGUUUUGAUAUAUAAUGAGAAGUCUGAAUAAAUAGGAGGAUUGAGAAUAUGAAUAACUGUAUUUUGCUAGCAGUGUAUCAAACAUGAGUAUUUGAACAAAUUCAAAAUAAAGAGUUGAGUAAGGAAACAAAGUGAUGUUAUAAUAAGUAAUGACUUAUUAGGGAUGCUUUUCUUAUCUCCUAUAAUUUAGACAUAAAACUUAGUUAUUAAAUAAAAAUUUAAAUGAAAAAAAUCAAAAAUGAAUGGUGGCUGUCCCACUCACUCUGUUAUAUUAUGUGUAUGUCCUGCCAUGGAAUAUACCUGUGCCCUUUCAUUUACCCAUCAUAUUUUCCCAAAAAGUUUGAUAGUUAAUAAAGCAAUGUAUAGUGAAAUUAUUUUUGCAAUAAUAAUAAUUAAAGUGAUAGGUUAAUGGUCUAAGGACAUAUUCGUACAGGAACAGAAUCUAUGGUUUUUGUGAUGGAGAGCAGGAUCAUCAAGUGGAUAAAAUGCUGGCUUUUCAGCAUUUCAGGUGCUGUGGAGCACUUCAUUCUUCUGAAAGACCCUGGCCACUUCAUCUGAAGACUGAACUUCCCAUCAACCAACUGGAUAGACACUGACUUGUCUGAAAAUGGUUAUGAAAAUAUACUAUUUAGACAGAGGUAGAAAAAGCACUUACAGUGGAAGACUAACAGCAAGCACCUCUUUGGGAGAGAUCACAAAACAUGAAAGAGGCUGCAGUUUUGGGUAGCAGAACAUGGGACUGAUAUCAAUAGCACAAACCUAAGGAUCUGUUUAUGAGGUUCCCAAAUGCUUUCUCUUACUGUGUCAAUGGCCAUUCCAAACUGAUCUCCUAUCUCAAGAGUCACUUUGUACAUAACUCAGCUUAUCUUGAAGGAGGGUGGUGAUCUGAAAUAAUUGCAGACACAUGGCAGUGGUGUGUAAUGCAAAAGCUUCUCCUUCACUGUGACACCAGAUGGUGAUGCUACAUAUCUGUUCGGUGUUAAGUUGUGCACAAUGCACAUUACAUGCACUCUGAGCAAGGGGGAUUUUGGCACUGACUUCCAUGUAAUCAUCAUUGGCUUCUGUACAAAGAUAGGAGCCUGGAGCUUGUCACUGGAAUGUUGCAUACUUACAUGUCUCAUAGAGCUCACUGAAAAUUUUUCCACAAUUUGUUUCAUAGCUUAUGUGCAUGUCAGAGAUUUGGGGACAAGGAUAGAAUACUCCCAAAUAUUAAUAAGAUCCACAAAACCCAAAACACAUAGAAUUAAAUAAUAGAAUUAUCUCAGCAUGCAUUGAAAUUCAUUGAAAUGAAGUUUCCUGUUAUACACAGAAAACCAUUCUUCAGGUAAACUGGGAAGAUAAGAUCUUUAUUAAAAGUAGACAAUUAGCUGUCAUUAGGAUAGUCAUUAAAAAUUAAAUAAAAAGUAUGUGUAUAGGAUGAAUCAGUGGAAAGCAGAGUAUCUGGUCAUGCUCCAAAAAAAUAUGUUUAUGUACUGGACAGAGUUGUGUGUAUACUGUCUAGACACACACAUGGAACUAUUUUAUUUUCAUCAUAGUCAUGGCGAGAAAACCAUGCUGAGGUGAGGAUACAUUAAUCUUAUAGUGUAGAGUGUGAUAUAGGUAAUGGUUCCUCUGGUUCAGUUUGACAUUUUUCACAGAUACUUACUUUUCUAUUAACUCUGUGACACCUUUACAGUAAUACAGUAAUACCACAGGAAUUGUUUUUGUAGGGGAUGUGUUGAAAAAGCAGUAUGCCUUUAUAAAUUCAUCUACUCUGAUUAGUGGUUACAAACACAAAACUCCAUCAUCAUACUGAUGUAGUGUAAAGUUAGCAGUGCCUUUCUAGAUCUUUUUGAAAUCUGCUGUGUUUUCUUUUCUUGUGUAACCCUGGAACAAGAUUUUUAGGAUGUGUAAUACAGCGGGGAGACAAUUGCAGCACCUCUGUAAACUUUUUACUCUUAGACUGCUUACAAUGCUUUCAACAUAAUUUCAUGUAAUCAUCACAUUGCCUUGCUUUAGUUCUAUUUAUAGCACAUUAAUAAAAGCUACUGGUGGUAAGGA